rnacentral:rRNA from 1 species
AUUGAACGCUGGCGGCAUGCUUUACACAUGCAAGUCGGACGGCAGCACAGAGAAGCUUGCUUCUUGGGUGGCGAGUGGCGAACGGGUGAGUAAUAUAUCGGAACGUACCGAGUAAUGGGGGAUAACUAAUCGAAAGAUUAGCUAAUACCGCAUAUUCUCUGAGGAGGAAAGCAGGGGACCUUCGGGCCUUGCGUUAUUUGAGCGGCCGAUAUCUGAUUAGCUAGUUGGUGGGGUAAAGGCCUACCAAGGCGACGAUCAGUAGCGGGUCUGAGAGGAUGAUCCGCCACACUGGGACUGAGACACGGCCCAGACUCCUACGGGAGGCAGCAGUGGGGAAUUUUGGACAAUGGGCGCAAGCCUGAUCCAGCCAUGCCGCGUGUCUGAAGAAGGCCUUCGGGUUGUAAAGGACUUUUGUCAGGGAAGAAAAGGCUGUUGCUAAUAUCGACAGCUGAUGACG